rnacentral:rRNA from 1 species
GACGAACGCUGGCGGCGUGCCUAACACAUGCAAGUCGAGCGAUGAAGCUCCUUCGGGAGUGGAUUAGCGGCGGACGGGUGAGUAACACGUGGGUAACCUGCCUCAUAGAGAGGGAUAGCCUUCCGAAAGGCAGAUUAAUACCUCAUGAGAUUGUAGGUUCGCAUGAAACGGCAAUAAAAGGAGCAAUCCGCUAUGAGAUGGACCCGCGUCGCAUUAGCUAGUUGGUAAGGCAAUGGCUUACCAAGGCGACGAUGCGUAGCCGACCUGAGAGGGUGAUCGGCCACAUUGGGACUGAGACACGGCCCAGACUCCUACGGGAGGCAGCAGUGGGGAAUAUUGCACAAUGGGGGAAACCCUGAUGCAGCAACGCCGCGUGAGUGAUGACGGUCUUCGGAUUGUAAAACUCUGUCUUUGGGGACGAUAAUGACGGUACCCAAGGAGGAAGCCACGGCUAACUACGUGCCAGCAGCCGCAGUAACAC